CCUACGGGGGGCAGCAGUGGGGAAUAUUGGGCAAUGGGGGGAACCCUGAUCCAGCCAUGCCGCGUGUGUGAAGAAGGCCCUCGGGUUGUAAAGCACUUUCAGUGAGGAAGAACGCCUGGUGGUUAAUACCCAUCAGGAAAGACAUCACUCACAGAAGAAGCACCGGCUAACUCCGUGCCAGCAGCCGCGGUAAUACGGAGGGUGCGAGCGUUAAUCAGAAUUACUGGGCGUAAAGCGCGCGUAGGUGGCUUGAUAAGCCGGUUGUGAAAGCCCCGGGCUCAACCUGGGAACGGCAUCCGGAACUGUCAAGCUAGAGUGCAGGAGAGGAAGGUAGAAUUCCCGGUGUAGCGGUGAAAUGCGUAGAGAUCGGGAGGAAUACCAGUGGCGAAGGCGGCCUUCUGGACUGACACUGACACUGAGGUGCGAAAGCGUGGGUAGCAAACAGGAUUAGAUACCCUAGUAGUC
rnacentral:rRNA from 1 species